GACGGUGGACUAGGGGAAGAACGAGGAAGAAGAGGAGGUGAUUGAAGGAGACAAUCGGUUCAUCUAAAAGUGGAAAUCAAACCAGGAUUUGAUAUUUGUUCAAGUCCAUUAAGAAGGGAGCCAAGGAAGAAGCAAGAGGAAGUUAGUACGGAAGAAAAAGCAAAAGCAAGAGCAAGUACUCCUAAGGGCAAGGGAGUAGUGAUCGGUGGAGUUUAAAGGUGCAAGAAGC